GACGUAGGUGGCGAACGUUAUCCGGAAUUAUUGGACGUAAAGGGUGCGUAGGCGGCAUGAUAAGUUAUUGGCGGCAAAUCGAGGCUCAACCUCGUGGAAACUGAUAAUACUGUCUUGCUUGAGUGCAGAAGAGGUUAACGGAACUCCAUGUGGAGCGGUAAAAUGUGUAGAUAUAUGGAAGAACAUCAAUAACGGCGAAGGCAGUUAACUAUUCUGUUACUGACGUUGAGGCACGAAAGCGUGGGGAGCAAACAGG
rnacentral:rRNA from 1 species